GACGAACGCUGGCGGCGUGCUUAACACAUGCAAGUCGAACGGAAAGGCCCUGCUUUUGUGGGGUGCUCGAGUGGCGAACGGGUGAGUAACACGUGAGUAACCUGCCCUUGACUUUGGGAUAACUUCAGGAAACUGGGGCUAAUACCGGAUAGGAGCUCCUGCUGCAUGGUGGGGGUUGGAAAGUUUCGGCGGUUGGGGAUGGACUCGCGGCUUAUCAGCUUGUUGGUGGGGUAGUGGCUUACCAAGGCUUUGACGGGUAGCCGGCCUGAGAGGGUGACCGGCCACAUUGGGACUGAGAUACGGCCCAGACUCCUACGGGAGGCAUCAGUGGGGAAUAUUGCACAAUGGGCGGAAGCCUGAUGCAGCAACGCCGCGUGCGGGAUGACGGCCUUCGGGUUGUAAACCGCUUUCGCCUGUGACGAAGCGUGAGUGACGGUAAUGGGCAAAGAAGCACCGGCUAACUACGUG
rnacentral:rRNA from 1 species